CUGGAGACACCCAGACGGUGUGCAUCCAAGCGGGCUUCACGCGUGUACAAAGGUGCCCUCGUGGGGUGACCCUUGAGGCAGAAUGGCCUGCCCAUCCCCCCAACCUCCCAGGACACUGAUGUCAGCACAGUAGCAGCUUCCUUGACAAAUAUUUGUGGAGCUGAAUAAAAAAGCAGCACAGAAGAGCAAACCCCUUGAGAGAUGUCGGCCGACUCCCAGGCCUCCAGAACUUAGCUUGAUGGACUUUGACAGACAGGGAUUUGUUUCUUCGUGUUGUUUAGCUCAAACCAGAGCUAAACCUCCUCAUCGUCUCAAAUGACCUGAAAUGGUUUCCCAAGCAACCUGGGCAGACCCUGGGGAGUCCAGAAGGCAUUCAGGGGCCCUGGACCUCUGGGGCUGAAGAUCUGCCUGCCGCUGUCCUGGAGGUCACAGGUUCCAGAAGGGCAGCAGAUGCCUGAAGCCGCAGGGCUGCGGGAAAUGAGGAAGCGGAGGGAGAGUGGACUGGAAGGAACUUGACCCAGGAUGCUGAGCAAAAUUUGCCAUUCAGCUACAAGAAGUGCAGUUGGCAGACAGCCUUCAACUUCAGCAUCUUCAGAGUCUGCCUUGACUUUCAAGCUGAGGCCAUGGACUUCUCAGGAGCUCCUAGCCAAUGGCUGAGAACAACAAACACCCUCACAAACACACCCGGAAUAGUGUUUAGUCAAAUGUCUAAGCACUCCAUGGGCCAGUCAAGUUGACACACAAAACUUGCCACCCCAGCUUCCUACAGAAGCCAACUCCCUCAAGAAGAGAUGAAGAUUCGGCUCUAUGUUGGUGGCGUGGCGUUGUGUACCUAGAACAAUGGAUUACAGCUGGGAAACUGAGUUCCAAAGGCAGGAAGAGACUUGCCUGGGGAGGCUGCUCUGGUCCUCAGGCCCUGGUCUUCGUGUGGGUCCCCAGGUGUGGUGGAAAUGGCGGGGUGGUGAGAGAGGGCUGGGGUCAUGAUGGAUGGAGAGGAUGUGAGUAGAGUGAUUGGGAGGAGUGGGGAUGGGAGGGGGACUUGUGGGUGUGUGGCAGGUGUGUGUGCAAUGUGCACACGUCUGCAUAUGAGCAUGUGUGGCUCCUACCAAAUGACCCCAGGUGAUGGAAUCUGGAAUGGAUGGGGAAAGGGAGUUGGGCAGGAGCCCAGCAGUGUCAGCUAGUUAAUAGAUAAAACCCAUUCUUUGGGAUUCUCAUUAGGGCGCUGAGGUCUCCAUCCACUUCAGACUCAACUUGUGUCCAUACAGACCUCACUGAGGGCUUCCAGCAGGCUGUUCUGCUCCCAGCUCUCCUGGGAGGAGUGGGCGUGGGUUUUAAUUCUUGCCCAGAGCCCUGCUGACAGGUGGUGCUCUGUCUGGAGGCGAACCUGGGGCCCAGCUCGGUGGAACCAUUUUCAGCUGUGUACCCCAGUAAGUGCUUGGCCUUUCAGAUCAUAGUUUCUCUCAUGUGCGUAAGAAGGGGUGGGUCAGGAUGGAGGCGGUUUCCAAACACCAGUCUUCCAUGCCAACAUCUGCCCCCUAGACUUGGCAAAAACCAGAACAAUAAGGACAAUGCCAUAAGUUGUUCAUGAAACUAAAUGCAUCCAGUCUAAUGGAUUAUCCUUUAUUCUGAGAUGACGUCCUUCCUUUUUUUGAUAUUCAAAUGCCCUUUUGAAAAUCAAAUGAUAGAAACUCUGUGUGUGUGUGCACGUGUGCGCAUUUGUAUGCUUGUGAAUAAAGGCAUGCUGAUGAAAGAAAGGCAGUGCUUAUCAUAGUGUGGUCUGAGAAUGCCUGGAGGUCCCCAAAACACUUUCAGGGGGUUUAGAAAGUCAAAACUGUUUUCAUAAUAGUACUAAGAUGUCAUUUGCCCUUUUUACCCUGUUGACAUUUGCACUAGUGGUGCAAGAGCAACAGCCAGUAACCUGCUAGUCUGGUAGCACGCAUCAGGCUGGGACGUUCUUGCAGUAAAACAAAAAAGAGAAAAAGAGACAAUGUCACUUAAGAAUGUCCUUGAAGCAGAAAAAUUUAUUAACUUCUUCAUUUUUCAACCCUUGAGUACAAGACAUUUUAAUAUUCUGUACAACCAAGUGAAGGUGUGCAUGAAACAUUUCUCCUGCAUACUGAAGUAUAAUAGUUGUCUUAAGGAAAAGUACUUGUGCAAUUGAGUUGUUAGCUGACCUAGCUGAACAUCAUUUUUACUUGAAAAAGGAAGACUAACAGAAAAAUUAUGGUUAUGCAAUCUCAAGUAUUGGUAGACAUUUUCUUGAAAAUGAAUAAAGUGUGCCAGUCACUUCAAGGAAAAUAAUGGACCACAUUUGUCACCAAUGAUAAAAUUCAGGCUUUCAAGAUAAUGGAGAUAAAUGCCUGGAACAGGGUGGCUGUCCAAUAAAGUCUGUCUUUCCCCUCUUUCUUCUACUCCUAUUUCCUCCUCUUUUUUUUUUUUUUUUUUGACAACGUCUGACUCUAUCGCCUAGGCUGGAGUGCACUGGUGCCACCUCAGCUCACUGAAACCUCCGCCUCCCAGGCUCAAGCCAUCCUCCCACCUCAGCCUCCUGAAUAGCUGGGACUACAGGCACACACCACCACACCCAGUUUAUUUUUGUAUUUUUCUUUUUUUUGUAGAGAUGAAAUUUUGCCACAUUUCCCAGGUUGGUCUUGACUUCCCUCUCUUCUUGGUAGAGGUUAGCUCCUUGGCCCUGGCUGGCAAAGUGUCUGAAAAUUGACACUCUUCAGUGUCAAUUUUCCAAUGAGAUGGGGUAGGAGGUAUUGGUUUGGGCACGGAGUAAGCUGCUGUAAGAACAGUCCCCCAAAUACAGCAAGUUCAACAAGAUGGAAGAUUAUUGCUCUCAUGGAAAACUCUAAGCAAGGAAGGGGUCUGGGAAUGGAAGGCAGUUUGACUCCAUGAAGUGGAUCAGGAAUUCAGGUAACUUCCAUCCUGUGCUCUGCCCUCUCCAUGGUGGAAGCUGGAUCUCUGUGCUGUGUCUAUGUUUCAGUCUGCAAGAAGGCAGGGAGAAGAUGGGAAGGGCUAGCACACAUUGCUUCUGUUCACAUGCCAUUCACAUAUGGCCACAUGUAACUGCCUGGGAGGCUGGAAAGUAGUGUAGUUUCUAGUAAUAUGGCUAUUCUAUGACUAAAAAGAAAAAAGGGAGAAAGGAUUCUAGGGGAUGGAUGACAGUUUCUGCCACAAUAUGAGUGGGGUAGGAUCAGAGGAGAAAAAUGUGGGAAUAGCAGAAAUGUAGCACCUAUGAGCUCACAGCUUCAAAGAGAUGCUCAGGUGAAAUCCCAGAGAGGCCCACCUAGACUCAGCACCCUGCUGCUGCUACCUCUUCUCACCUCAUCAGUCUGUGCAUGGUAUGUAGGCCACGUGUCUUUGCAUUUCCUCCAAACAUCUGAACAUGGUGGAUCUAGAAGGCACUUUAGAGAUCCCCUUUUAUUCUGUAAAAGGAGAGGCACAGCCCCAGAGACAGAAGACUCUUGACCAAUGACACACAGCAAGUCAGAGUUGGGAUUGGGACUAGAACCAAGCUUUCCCACUCCCCAGGCCCAUAGCUCUCUUGCCAUAGCCCACAAUAUCUCUUUGAUGAUGCACCAGGCCCUUUCCCUUCUGAUACAUCAGAUGGCUCCCUCCCUGAGCUGACCACCUGAUUCCUUAUCCUCUGUUACCUUGAAAAGCAUGAAUAUACGUUAAAUAGGAAAGGAAUGAAGCAAACAUGUAUCACACAGUCGAAAAGAAGAAUAGGCAUAGGCAUGUAGUGUAAGAAAGGUUAUUCAGGGAAGGGGCAUUUCCAUCCCUUUUUAUUCAUACACCACCCAAGAGUCUUUUGAAUGCAGGUGCAAAAAUCCCACUGAAACCUGCUUACAAAAUUAAGGAGGAUUUAUUGGCUUAUAUAGUCUCCAAUUCCAUAUUUUUAGGAUGGGUCACUUUUAACACCCUACUCCUGAUACCAAUUUCUACAUCACUUGAGAUGUCUUGUUGACAAGCAGUAACAAUGGGCUCUGACUAAACUGAGACUUUUGGGCAUUUAUUGGAAUAAUCCUGGGGUGGUCUCAAUGAAAGGACUGAAGAAAGGGCUGAAGAACCAGAUCUGGAACUUAUAUCUCAGAGGAUAUCAGCAGCAGAAGAGUCUGCUACCUUCCAACCCUGAGUCUGUAUGCAGAGGCAAAGUGUGGGCAAAGGAAUUCUGGUUGCAUGCCUACCCUAUCUGAUACCAGAAGAAAAUGGGGUAAACAUGGGGAGCUAUGACAGAUAAAAACAAUCACCAUUAUGCCUUUAAUUUCCCCUAUAAAUGCAUACUAUCAUUAUCCACAUUCGCUUAUUAGAUUUGUAUUUUUUCUCAUUUUAACUUAAAGAAAUAUGUAUAGUUCUUAUUGAUGGCAUCUUUCUAAUGGGAGGCAGUACAUGUAAUACAACUUCUUGGCUUAAUACUUACUAACUACAUAACUUGGGCAAGUUACUCAACUUCUCUGAGACUUGAUUUCUUCAUUUUUAAGAUGGGGAUAAGAAUUCCUUGUAGGGUAUUUGAGAUCAUUAAGAUAACUAAUGCAUGAAAGGAUUUUAAAGUAGAGUGGUGGCCAUUUUUAUCAUUUAAAUUUUCCUCUCUCUUUACUGUCUUAGGCUGGAUUCCCAGAAGCAGACUCUUAGUGAAGGAAAUGUAUAGGGGAUGAGAAAGUGGGGCAGGGAAGGGAAGCAGAUCCGGCAAGGAUCCGAUAUCAAGCAAACUCCCACAGAGGGUAAUUUUGGCUCAAUUCCACAUGUGAACUUUGGAGACAUACGAGUCACAACUCAGAGUUGCAUGAGCAGGGAACAAGGGAGCUGGGGUAUUGAUACUCCCAUGUUGCCAAUCAUUGGUUGCAGUGUCUGGCAAGCUGUAGAAAGCAUUCUGACAAUGAGAUGCAAGUGUUGGCUGUUGGGAGUCAAAGCACACUGGGGAUCAGGAAAAGGAGCAGAGGAGGUAUGGACGAAACAUGCUACCUGUCCUCAGUGGUGCUCAUUUACACAAUAGACUUGAAGAGUGUUUUAACAAAGGGGCCAGGGUUAGAGAAAGCAUGAAGGUGAGACUCAGCAGCCUGUUCCAUCUGGGUCAGAGGUCACUCACUCUGACUCCAGGACUUUUUUCUUGGAGCUGCCAAUUUGCAAAGUAUUUCGAAAUAGUAGGCUCAGCAAACUUGGAAAGGCAGGAUGCUCAGCUCAAAAGCUGAGAGUAAUUGUUUAAAAUAUGGGGUUGAGCAAUCAGGGAUUCUCACCUGGAAGCCUUUUGCACCAUGGCAUUUUGCCAGCAGGCCCUGUGCUGGAUCAGGCUGCACGCACUGGCCCAGGCUCACAGCAGUGCAAAGAAAUGAGUGGUUGUUCCCACGGCCCAUGUUUUGAGGGUUUAGAGGCAGGCUCAGAUUUCACAGUUGGCAAGAGGUCCCUCUGCUCCGGUAUUCUACCCGUACUUCCUGAUUACCUGUAAGACCUCAGGCAUUGACCUCGGCACUGGGGAAAACCUCACGUCUCACAAGACCACAGAUAACUCUAGCUCCUGCGCUGCAUCAAGAAGGACAGGCAGAUCAAGCGUGUUGGAGGCAUUGAGAAAAGAAACAUCACUUUCCACCUGAUCAAGAAAGGUCUCUUGAGUUGUCCUUGAAAAGAACAAUCAAAGCGUCUUAUUUAGCCAAUAGUCUAAAAGUUAUAUAUUUAAUAUUUAUUUUAAGAACAUUCACAUGGCAUUUACUACAUGCCAGGAAAAGUUGAAGAGCUCUACACAUAUCAACUCAGUUCCUAUUUGUAGGGAAUGUGAAGCUUACUGGGGAUGUUUGUGGGGAUCUUGGCUGCCCAAUGUGGGACCCCUGUUCCCUUUAGGUGUCUAACACAUGUUCUCUUUCUCUUUGAUGGCCAAGGCAUGGCUGGCCAAUGGGAUGCUUCUCUCUCCAAAGGAGCAGGGAGAGCUGGAGAUACCCUCCUUGCAAACAGCAGCUUGAGGAUCCAGCGCCUGGUGCACAGGUCUGCAAAUCGCCUGGGGUGACUCUGAUGAACUUGAUUAGUAUUGGCUGAACUUGGGCCAGGGUACGGGAUGGGUUCAAGCCUGUUCUGUAUGUUUGUAAUUUGGGGACUCAGGUUGAAAGGGUAGUGUCCAUCUGGAGCAAACUCAUGGUGAAGAGCUGGAGUGCAAGAGAUAGGAGUGGAAAUGUGCAAUGCCUCUUCAGACCUUGGCUUGGAACUGGCACAGCAUCACUUCUACCCAUAUUCAACUGAGCAGAACGCAUGACACAGUCAAGUCCAACAUCAGUGGUGUGGGGUAGUCCUGUCUGCUCACAGUGAAUCGUGAUACAGGGAGACAAGGAAGAAUUGUGGACUAAUAAUUUAAUCUAUCACACAGGGGGUGUUUUUUCACAACCUGAUAUCCUGAUUCCAACCCUCUGAGUGGAAUUUUUUUUUUUAAUUUUUUAGAGACAAGGUCUUGCUCUGUCACCCAGGCUGGAGUACAGUAGUGUGAUCAUAGCUCACUGCAGCCUCAAACUCCUGGGCUCAAGUGAUCCUCCUGCUUUAGCCUCCUGAAUACAUGAGACUACAGGCAUGCGCCACCAUGCCCAGCUUAUUUUUAUUUGUAUUUUGUGUAGAGCUGUAGUCUUGCAAUGUUGUCCAGGCUGGUCUUGAGCUCCUGGUCUCAAGUGAUCCACCCGCCUUGGCCUCUCAGGCAUGAGCCCCCGUUCUCAGCUGGAAUAUCUGUAUUUUGAAGAAGCUGCCCUGGUGAUUCUGAUGUGCAUUCUCACGGGGGUUGGUUUGAACAAAGAAGUGCUUUGAGAGUUCAGAUGUGGAGCCAGGAACCCUGCCUGCCAUGGGAUGCAGGGAGAGGGGGUGGCGAGCAGCCCACAGCGACCCCAAGAAGCUGCUCCAACCCCUGGGACUAUGGAGCUCUACAGCUGUAGAGACCACCAGGAAGUGGACUGCAGGCCCCUGGCCUCUCCAUUCAGAUUCUGCAAAGAGAUCCUGAUGGGUUGGGCCAAUGGGUCAGGCAUCCAGUCAGCUCUGGCUAAGGGGUGAAGGAGUCAGGUGUUACCAACGUGGUGGCAGGGGCCACCUUGAAGCUGUGUUCUGUGCCAUGGAAGAAGGAAGAGGAGGAGGAAGCUAAGCUGGAAGGGAAGGCAGUCUAGGCUCCUGGAGUCAGUAGUUGGAAUCUCAGAUGGGAAGAAACCUUAAAAGUCAUCUGGUCCAGUAUUUUCCAAAGCAUGUUCCAUGAACUUGUUUUCCAGAAAUGGUUUCCUGGUCUGGUGAGUGGGAGUUCGAUGAGAGUGGCAGUUGUCUAUUUUGUUCACCGAUGUAUCUUAGGUGACUAAAACAAUGGUUGUCACAUGGCUGGCCCUUCAUAUUUGUUUCCAGAUGGAAGACUCUCUUUCUAGUGGUGGAACAUUAGUUUUGCACUGUGUUGGGACAACCUGAUGUAGUGAAAACAAGCCUGGGCAAUGAAAUCAACAGAUUGGAGUUCAGUUCCUAAUUGGGUCAUGGAUGAACUUUGUGACCUUGGGCAAGUGAGUUCACCUCUCUGAGUUGAAUAGGUUCCCUCCUUUCUAGAACAAGUAUGAGUCUGCAUCAGAGAGUGGUUGCGAGGGCUACACAUGAUGGAGGAUGAGGACUGGCACAUCAGAAGUACUGAAUGAAGAAUUGUAACAUAAAAAUGACAACAGUAAUAUAUUUUUGUGGUUUCAGCACUCUUCAAAUGAAACCACCUGGCCAACAGGAUUUUAGUGUACCUGCUUAUAACAUUAGCCUUCGUUUCCACCAAAAAGGGUGUUAAAAAAGGAAGCUUGGAACAUGAAAGUAAGACACUUGGAUGAAGAGAUUUAUGACUCUGGGGGGCUGUGAAUUCCUAAUGUCCUUUUGAGACAUGUAGAUCUUCCAGAGCGAUGCUGCCCAAUGCAGUAGCCACUAGCCAAGUGCAAAUGGUCACUUGCAAUAUGGCUAGUCUUUGAGAUGUGUUUUAAGUGUAAAAUACACACUGAAUUUUAAAGACUUAGCGCAAUACAAAGAAUGUAAAAUAUCUCAUUAUAUCUUGAAAUUAUACUAUUUUGGAUAUAUGGUGUUCCCUUGGUGUCUUUGGGGACUGGUUCCAGGAUCCUAGAGGAUACCCAAAUCCCCAGAUGUCAAGUCCGCUAUAUAAAAUGUCCUGUAGUAUUUGCAUAUAACCUACACACAUCCUUCUGAAUACUUUAAAUCAUCUCUAGAUUCCUUGUAAUUCCUAAUACAAUGUAAAUGUUAUGUAAAUAGUUGUUAUACUAUAUUAAAAAGUUUUUUAUUCUUUAUUUUUGCUGUAUUAUUCUUUUUGCAUAUUUUCAGUCCACAGAUGGUUGAUGCCACAGAUGUGGAACCUGUGAAUAAGGAGGGCUGACUGUAUUGAGU
rnacentral:lncRNA from 1 species